rnacentral:lncRNA from 1 species
AGAGAGGCCUGGGAGAGUGUCAUAUAUACAAAUAGGAAAAGGCAGAUAUACAGAAAAUGCCAAGACCAAGUGCCAGGAAUUUGGCUUUGCCAGGAACAGAGAGGGCCAGUGUGGCUGGAGGGGAGUCUGAGGGGCAGGAUAGAGAGGGAAGACCCCAGGGGUAGGCCUCACUGCAAGGCUCUAGGACAUUUUGGUAACCUGGAAUCUGUGUGGGGACUUCCUCAAAGGUCACAGGCUAAUAAAAUAUAGCAGCUUGUUAUUUUCUGCAGAGGGGAGGACAAAAAAAGAAAUCUUUUCCUGUGGAUGUGUACCUGAGAUGUUCACUACGGAGGGCAAAAAUCAGAACGGGUGUUAUUCUAAAUAAAAUGGUUGAAAAAGCAAGUGGGGUGACAGACUGUGAACUCACCCCAGAACCCCUGACUCUGGAGUGGCGGAUUGGAAUCCUCCUGGAUGUGGAAUCCAAGACUGGCUUGAGACCUCCUGACAUCUCUGAGCUUUGGCUUCCACAUCUGUGGAACAAGGACAAUAGAACUUCCUGGCCUCAGAGGAGACUGCGAGAUGACCUACAAGGUUCUUGGCAGAGAAUGACAAAGUAAUUGUCUCCAUCACAGCCACCCACAGUCCCCAAACCUACAAAGAGCUGCUGGUCCUGGAGUCCUUGAGUUUGGAACAUCCUUGCCCCCAAAAGUGAGUUAACAGAUUUUUGUAUUUGAGGUCAGAAUCUGAUAUUCAGAAGGCUUUGUUUUCAAAGUCUAGGCCAGGGUCUCAAGUUCAAAGGACUGUAGAGGCCAUGGGGUGGUGAGUAACAACCACAGAUGUGGCCAACAGCAGACUACAUGUCUUGCCCAGAGGGGCAGUCCUUACUCAGUUCCAAUCAUGGAAACUGUUUUCCAUGCAGCAGCCGAGGAUCUCG